rnacentral:rRNA from 1 species
CCUACGGGAGGCAGCAGUGAGGAAUAUUGGUCCAUGGGCUUACGCCUGAACCAGCCAAGUCGCGUGAGGGAAGACUGCCCUAUGGGUUGUAAACCUCUUUUGUCAGGGAGCAACGCCGGCUACGUGUAGCCGGACUGAGAGUACCUGAAGAAAAAGCAUCGGCUAACUCCGUGCCAGCAGCCGCGGUAAUACGGAGGAUGCGAGCGUUAUCCGGAUUUAUUGGGUUUAAAGGGUGCGUAGGCGGAAUGCCAAGUCAGCGGUAAAAUCGCGGGGCUCAACCUCGCUACGCCGUUGAAACUGGCGGUCUUGAGUGGGCGAGAAGUAUGCGGAAUGCGUGGUGUAGCGGUGAAAUGCAUAGAUAUCACGCAGAACUCCGAUUGCGAAGGCAGCAUACCGGCGCCCAACUGACGCUGAAGCACGAAAGCGUGGGUAUCGAACAGGAUUAGAUACCCGAGUAGUC